AAGACAAUCGAUUGAAGGAUAUGCAUCUUCAAAGUCCUCUACAGAGAGUAAGUGCCUUGAGUGGAAGCACUUGUGAGUGACAAUGAUGGUUGUACCACCUUCCCUUAUUAUUAGCCGAGAUAAGGCUAGUCGGAUCGUGUCCGUUACCGCACCUUAGAGAGGACAUUACUAGUGUGUCCUAAAGAUGGGUGGAACCACGCUAAUUUUUGUUAAUUACCGUCCCUGAU
rnacentral:ncRNA from 1 species